CAGUCGCCGCGGUAAUACAGAGGGUGCGAGCGUUAAUCGGAUUUACUGGGCGUAAAGCGUGCGUAGGCGGCUAAUUGAGUCGGAUGUGAAAUCCCCGAGCUUAACUUGGGAAUUGCAUUCGAUACUGGUUAGCUAGAGUGUGGGAGAGGAUGGUAGAAUUCCAGGUGUAGCGGUGAAAUGCGUAGAGAUCUGGAGGAAUACCGAUGGCGAAGGCAGCCAUCUGGCCUAACACUGACGCUGAGGUACGAAAGCAUGGGGAGCAAACAGGAUUAGAUACCCGGGUAGUCCCUGUCUCUUAUAU
rnacentral:rRNA from 1 species